UGGGGAAUAUUGGACAAUGGGCGCAAGCCUGAUCCAGCCAUGCCGCGUGAGUGAUGAAGGCCCUAGGGUUGUAAAGCUCUUUUAACGGGGAAGAUAAUGACGGUACCCGUAGAAUAAGCCCCGGCUAACUUCGUGCCAGCAGCCGCGGUAAUACGAAGGGGGCUAGCGUUGCUCGGAAUCACUGGGCGUAAAGGGUGCGUAGGUGGAUCUUUAAGUCAGGGGUGAAAUCCUGGAGCUCAACUCCAGAACUGCCUUUGAUACUGAGGAUCUUGAGUUCGGGAGAGGUAAGUGGAACUGCGAGUGUAGAGGUGAAAUUCGUAGAUAUUCGCAAGAACACCAGUGGCGAAGGCGGCUUACUGGCCCGAUACUGACACUGAGGCACGAAAGCGUGGGGAGCAAACAGG
rnacentral:rRNA from 1 species